UAAGCUUCUAGCUGAUCGCGUUGCAGAAGUGAGUUAUGAUUCUCCUGAGGCUUCACUCUUCCUUGA
rnacentral:ribozyme from 1 species